CUUGCAAACUGGGGAUGGCGACCGGCGCACGGGUGAGUAACACGUAUCCAACCUGCCGAUAACUCGGGGAUAGCCUUUCGAAAGAAAGAUUAAUACCCGAUGGCAUAAUAGAACCGCAUGGUUUGAUUAUUAAAGAAUUUCGGUUAUCGAUGGGGAUGCGUUCCAUUAGGCAGUUGGUGGGGUAACGGCCCACCAAACCUUCGAUGGAUAGGGGUUCUGAGAGGAAGGUCCCCCACAUUGGAACUGAGACACGGUCCAAACUCCUACGGGAGGCAGCAUG
rnacentral:rRNA from 1 species